rnacentral:lncRNA from 1 species
AAGACUAUACUUUCAGGGAUCAUUUCUAUAGUGUGUUACUAGAGAAGUUUCUCUGAACGUGUAGAGCACCGAAAACCACGAGGAAGAGAGGUAGCGUUUUCUCCUGAGCGUGAAGCCGGCUUUCUGGCGUUGCUUGGCUGCAACUGCCGUCAGCCAUUGAUGAUCGUUCUUCUCUCCGUAUUGGGGAGUGAGAGGGAGAGAACGCGGUCUGAGUGGUUUUUCCUUCUUGAUGGCUCAAUGACAGAGACUAGCUCGUAAACUCCGGGGCGUUUCUGGGCUGUUCGCUCCUGCUUGGCAUGUCGCGAGAAAGGUUUUCGCCUCCUGUUUCAGCGGUGACGGCUCUUGGGUUUUCUCGGGGUGGCUUUUUAAUUUUAGUCUUGGCGCGAGGCGGGGGAUGCUGUGUGGCACCUCCUAUUGUCUCUUUUUGCGUUUUCUCCCAUUCUCGCUCCCUCUUUUGUCGCCGUUUCCCGCCCGCCACUCCCACCCCCAGACGGGGUCUCCGGGUCUCUUGUUCUGUCUGCCGGCCCCGGCUGGAUUGCAGUGGCGCGAUCUCGGCUCCUAGCAACAUCUGCCUCCCGGGCUCAAGCGAGUCUCCCGCCUAAGCCCUCCCGAGUAGCCGGGGCUUAAAGGCGCACACGCCACUCCAGGCUUUUUUUUUUUUUUUUUUUUUUUUUUUGGCAGAAACGGGGUGUCAGCAUG